UCAGGCUAGGAAAAUGAAUUUUGUCCUAUAGGUCAUGGGGACCUAAUGAAGGAUUUCACAUGAAAAGAUCACAUCUGUGUUUUAAGAUCACUCAAAAGAGGGCAAACUGGAGAGAAACUAGCCUGGAGGAAUAAUGAAUUCCUGAGUAGAAACACUCACAAACACACCCAGAAGUAAUGUUUAAGCAGUGAUCUGGGCAUCCCCCGGCCCCAUCGAGUUCCUACAUAAAAUCAAUCAUCACAUCAAGAUUGGAAACAGAAUCCUGAAAUUUAUCUACUUUUUAAAUAUGAGGUUUGAUAACAGUACCAGGAGAGGAGGUGGAUUUCAUAUGUCCAGGGACUCAUCAAAAGGAAAAAGACUGCACAAAGAUAGAAGUCCUCAGCCUUGCACCAACCUCGAAGAUUGCCACAGCCACUCCUGAGAAUAGCCAGGAACGCAAUCAAACUCUCAAAUGUCAGUGUCAGAAUGAGGAAAAACAUCCAGCACCCAGUCCUCACUGCCUUUGGAUGGGGCUUCUCAUCACCACACUGCUUCCUGCUGCUCCCUGCCCAUGCUCUUGAUUACCAGCUUUGGGGCCUCUGUUUAUUAUCACCCCCACACUGCACGCCAAUGCUACACAUUUAACUUCAGUGUGUCCUUCCCAGCCCAGUCCAAAUGCCCCCUCAUCUAUCAAGUUUUACUUGGAUGAUCUCUUCUAAAACUUCUGUAUCACUCCAAAUGUGUCUUUAAUAUGGUAAUCAUCUAUGUUUAUCUUACAUUAGGACAAUUGAUAUGCAUGACUCAUUUCUUCUAUCCUGACAGCUUCUUGAGGGCAGGGUCAGCCUAUACAUAUUCUCUAGCCUGGCCUCGGGCUUGGCAUAUGGAAGGCACUGGAUUAAAGUUUGUUAAUUAAGUAGGUGAAAUGGAACUGGAACUCAUAGAUGUAAGUGACCUAAUUUUGGGCCUUUGGGGAUAAAAUUUAAUCAUGAAAGGAACUUGAGGAAGACCUACUUGUUCCAGAAAGAGGCUAGUGAGACUAUAUUGGGCUUCCUGUUUUCUUGCCAGGAAGCAAAAUGCUAUUCUAAGAGGGAUAGUCCCAAAAGCCAGUCACGCCUGCAUGCUAGAUCAAACAGCAUCAUACAGAGGCCAGGAGAAACAUGUGUUCUGAAGGUAGAUAUAUCUGUUUGGGAUCUUGACUCCUAUGUCAACACCUAUAUGACCAUGGGAAAUUUACCCUGCUCUAACCAUAAAGCAGGAGGAGUUGUUCCUACCUUAGGGGGGAUAUCACAAGCAGAGGAUGAUCGAAGUGCCUUGCACAGUGACUACCAUACUGCCAUCUUCUAACAAAUGUCUAUUUUACUUUUCUUCU